GCAAACUUGGUCAUUUAGAGGAAGUAAAAGUCGUAACAAGGUUUCCGUAGGUGAACCUGCGGAAGGAUCAUUACAGCGCCGCGGGGUCCGCCCCGCACACGGCCACCCGUGUCUACCGUACCCUCUGUUGCCUCGGCGGGCCCGUCGCGCCUUCCCCCUCGCGGGGGGGUAACCCGACCGCCGGGUGGCUCCUGCCACCCCGCCCGUGCCCGCCGGAGGACCACCGCAACCCUUCGUGAAUUCAGUGACGUCUGACCGAGAUGUGAUCUUGAAUCAUCGCAAAACUUUCAACAACGGAUCUCUUGGUUCCGGCAUCGAUGAAGAACGCAGC
rnacentral:misc_RNA from 1 species